CCUUUCUAAACAAAUCAGACUUCAUCUCCUCCAGUGCCUCCUUACCACCUCAUCUUCUUUCCUCUACCCAUAAUCCCUUAGGGGAAGGACUGUUAACAUGUGAAAAUGCUACGUAAAUGAAAUUCCUUCAGAAUCAACACAGAUUUGAAAAUGGCUCCAGAAACUAGAGGGUGGUUUUUAUGGUUUUCUCAUUUUGGAAUUUUGGGCAAAGCACAGCUUUUUGGAUCACUGGAUCUUUAAAAGAUACAUAACAGUAGGUAAUAAGCCACCCAAAUUAAGUUUACCAGAAAUUUAGAUGUACUCCUUUCCCUCUUGCAGACAAUUGAGGACAAUGCUCCCAGAAGGUCACUACAUUAAAGGAAGCAUAGCCUGGGAGCGGCAGACAUGACGUCUAUUGAACUUACUGUUCCAUCUGUCACUGACAUGGGCCACAUACAAAUCUCUAAAGUUCUUGGGGUCUUUAAGGCGCCUGCUAAUCCAUUCCUUUUCCUUUACCCUUAAGUCAUUCCAAAUAGGAGGAUCUAUUCUGUGUUUAAAGACUUCCAAGGAAGAGUCCACAAUCACUCAGCCAAAUAUUUUGAAAUUAAUUUCCCUAUAGCCUUUCCCCGUUGUUCUGAAUGCACAUUCCUUCCCAUAGUCCUGCCAUUCUGAAGAGGAAAAUAUUGUGGCCAUGAGCUUUGAGACCUAUAUAAAGACAAAAUAAUUCUUAAUCUACCCAACCAUCAAUUUUUUUUUUUUUUUUUUUUUAAAGAUGGAGUUUCACUCUGUUGUCCAGGCUGGAGUGGCACAAUCUCGGCUCACUGCAACCUCCGCCUCUGAGUUCAAGUGAUUCUCCUGCCUCGGCCUCCCAAGUAGCUGGGGAUUACAGGCACGCACCACCACACCCGGCUAAUUUUUGUAUUUUUAGUAGAGCAGAGGUUUCACCAUGUUGGCCAGGCUGGUCUCGAACUCCUGACCUCAGGUGAUCUGCCCACCUUGGCCUCCCAAAGUAUUGGGAUUACAGGCGAGAUCCACCGUGCCUGGCAUCCAUGAAAUUUUUUGAUGAAAAACUAGUUCAUAAUUUAUAAAGUGUAGAUACAAAUGUACUGCACUCAGCCUUCUUCUAUGGAAGUGAAGAUGAGAGGCUGCGUAUAUCACUCGCGAACCUUCCAGACAACUGAAGAAUAACAAUGAAUACUGCCAUCUUCCCAGAGCUCCAGCACUAAUCUUUGUUAAGGCUUAGAGGAAACCACUUUUCUCAGUUUUGAUGUCUAUGAAUCUGCAAUCACUAAUGAAUGGGGAAAAGUCUGUGAAACAUUUAUUUCCUACAUCAAUGAUUAAAAUUAGCUGUUUUUAGAGCAGAAUGAACAACAUACAAAGCAGGUUGGACGACAUCUAUUUCACACAAUUGCAUCUCAGUUUCUGACCUAGGUAAAAUCCUGCAUAAAUGUAGGAGAAUCCUCUAUAUUAAUAUGUUCUGUAUUCAGGUUUAAGAGAUGUGCAUUUACAUUUACAUUUUAUUAAUUCAUCAACUGAUACUUAAGAAUUAAAACUCUCAAAAUCAGAAGACGAUGCUUUUUGGUAAAGAAAAAAAGAAACAGGCUAUAAGUAAAAACAGGUAUAAAAAUUAACACAAAACCUUUGAGUAAUGUAUUUAUCCUAUAAGCGGAAAAUUCUGAGAAUAAUGGAGGACUGAGGGGAUUAAAAUGCCACGCAGUAGAUGGACUAUUUCAGAUUUUAUAGUCAGGGAAACUGGCUUCGGGAGGACAGCUCUCAAUUCAUGUACUUUACGUAAGAGCAGUUCUUUCUAUAGGCCAUAAAGUUGUAGGUGAUACAAUCAACUGGGUUAUAAAAUAGCUUCUUUUUAGAAUGGAGAUGAUACAAAAAUCAAUUUCUACAACCAUCAUUUCCUCCUGAACACCUCUUUCACUUUCAACCUAAACUUACUCUCCCCUUUGGGAAUUCCCAGUGUAUUUCUUUGAGAUGUCUUCCACAUUAACAGUAGAGCCUACAAAGAACCAACAUGCAGAGGCUACUUGUCAAAGGGCACUUUCUGUAGGUAGUCUAAAAGAACACAAUUAUACACAUACACAAACGUGUACAGGUAUACGCAAAAGGGAAAAGGAGAUGCAAGAGUACUGUACUACUGCUUUAACAAAUGCUCUCACCCAAUCCACCUUAUCCAUCUUACAGGAUAGAAACACUAUUUAGGGUUUAAAAUACGCAAAAAAACAUUUUUUUUAAAUAUAUAAACCAUCUAUGGAAGCAUAUUUUGCCUUCUGUUAUGACCCUCAUCAUUCCUCAACUCAUAUUCUAAAAGCCUGAGAGGUGAAAAUCUUCUGAACAGCUGAACCACCCACAGAACCUGAAAAUUAUUAUACAUUUUGCACAUGAUUAACCUAUAUUCACCACUGAGGUUUAACCAAGAACCAGAUUCACAUAGGUAAUAGGGGUCACAACUACUUUUUCAUAAAAUAUACCCUCCUACUGGCCAGGUGAGGUGGCUCACGCCUGUAAUUCCAGCACUUCAGAUUGCUUGAGCCCAGGAAUUCAAGACCAGUCUGGGCAACAUGGCAAAACCCUGUCUCUACUAAAAAUACAAAAAUUAACUGGGUGUGGUGGCACAUGCCUGUAGUCCCAGCUACUUGGGGAGGCUGAGGUGGGAUGGCUUGAGCCUGGAAGGUGAAGGUUGCAGUGAGCCAAGAUCACGACUUUGUACUUAAGUCUGGGCAACAGAGCGAGACCCUGUCUCAAAAAAAAAAAAAAAAAAAAAAAAAAAAUCUAUGCAUCCAUCUAUCUAUACAAACACACAUCCUCCUACUUUACAUAAAUGUACAAUUCCAUGUCUAUUCUUAGCAUGUUUUCAGUUAAAAUUAGAUUACUGAUGUUUACAAGAAGCACGGUCAAAUGAUUUUUUUCAUUUUAUGUCAAUGUUUACACGCCAACCCUCCAGAAGGUUGGGACAAUGGGAAGAGGGCAUUGGACUGGAUGUAAAGCCUGAGGCCAGGGGUCUAGUUUUGUUAGGGUCUAGAUUCUCACCCCAGAAUCUUACCCCCUCAGGCAAUCACUCAAAUUGAAAUAUCACUUCUAUUGGUCCUGAUACUCUACUUCAGUAGUUAUCUUACUUCUUCCUUUGAAUGUAAACCAUUUAUAGCUAAGUAGAGUAUAUUUUAGUAUAAGAACACAGUGAAGGCUGGGUGCGGUGGCUCACACCUGUAAUCCCAGCACUUUGGGAGGCCGAGGCGGGCGGAUCACGAGGUCAAGAGCUCGAGACCAGCCUGACCAACAUAGUGAAACCCCGUCUCUACUAAAAAUAUAAAAAUUAGCUGGGCGUAGUGGCGCGCGCCUGUAAUCCCAGCUACUUGGGAGGCUGGGGCAGGAGAAUCGCUUGAACCUGGGAGGCGGAGGUUGCAGUGAGUGGAGAUCGCAACACUGCAUUCCAGCCUGGGCGACAGGGCGAGACUCCGUCUCAAAAAACAAACAAACAAAAAACACAUAGUGAAGACCAAACAAAAUUUCAUCUGUACUAAUAAUGACUCACGGUGGGCCAGAGCUCAAGUCAGUAUGUAAUAAGAAAGCAAAGGGAAAAAAAAAAUCAUUUACUUCACUAAAACUUCUGUUGUUUCUUUAAAACUCUAAACAAAAUUGACCCUAUAAGUAAAGAUAUUCAUUCUUAUCAUUUUUUAACAAGCAAAUUUUAAUAAUGCCUUUUAUUUCUAUACAAAGCAAUGUAACUUUCU
rnacentral:lncRNA from 10 species